GAUGAACGCUGGCGGCGUGCCUAAUACAUGCAAGUCGAGCGAACGGACGAGAAGCUUGCUUCUCCGAUGUUAGCGGCGGACGGGUGAGUAACACGUGGAUAACCUACCUAUAAGACUGGGAUAACUUCGGGAAACCGGAGCUAAUACCGGAUGAUAUUUUGAACCGCAUGGUUCAAAAGUGAAAGACGGUCUUGCUGUCACUUAUAGAUGGAUCCGCGCUGCAUUAUCUAGUUGGUAAGGUAACGGCUUACCAAGGCAACGAUGCAUAGCCGACCUGAGAGGGUGAUCGGCCACACUGGAACUGAGACACGGUCCAGACUCCUACGGGAGGCAGCAGUAGGGAAUCUUCCGCAAUGGGCGAAAGCCUGACGGAGCAACGCCGCGUGAGUGAUGAAGGUCUUCGGAUCGUAAAACUCUGUUAUUAGGGAAGAACAUAUGUGUAAGUAACUGUGCACAUCUUGACGGUACCUAAUCAGAAAGCCACGGCUAACUACGUG
rnacentral:rRNA from 1 species